GCUUCCAAGAUGCGACCUGGCCGCUUCAUGGAUGGGAAGCUGGUCCUGGAGAUGCCGGCGGAGGUGUAGCCGUUCCACACGGUGCUGGAAGACCCCAGCUUCUCCUUUCUGGGGGUGCUUUGGAGGAAGGUGGCUUCGCUUCUCCAUUUGCCUCUCCACUCCCUUGUGCUGAUCUACCACGCCACCAGGAACGAACCUGUCACCCUCCAUCUCUACUUGAUCCCCGAUGACCGCUCCAUAAAGCAGGCAAUCGAAGAGAGGGAGAAGUCAUCCAUGUCCUACCGGGUGGAUAAACCGCCGUUGACCAAGCGUCUCAACUGCGGGAGGUCCUACAUUGUUUCUGGCUCCGCACCCGCAGCCGUACACCCCAAGAUCCUGGACUUCCAUCUCAGAGGGGCAGAAAAGCAGCAGAUCUUCAGUGAAAUCUACCUUAGUGUCAUGGUAGAAGAAGUCAAACUCAGCUUGAAAGACAAAAGGAAGGACAAGUGCAUGUGGCACGCAGUGCUGCGAAGAGGAGACAUCGCACCCAGCAGGGCAGGCGCAGAUGCCCCGCGCGCCAGUCUCUGGCUCCCUGGAUUAUGGCGCAGCCGGCCAGGCUGGGCAGACAGAGGACAAAUCCCAGGAGCCUUCGCGACGACGACAGAAAUGGUGAUUGCCAGCAGCACGGUACAGGCCAGGGCUCUAAACGGCUGGAGAGCCAGCAUACAGGCAAAGGUCUCCCCUGGAGCCUGCAGGAAUACAUGCUCUGGAGAAGUUGGCAGCUCUGGCAACCCUGGGCCUGUCAGCUCUGUUUGUUCGCACCACAUCCCCUGAAGAAAGAUGCACACAGGGACCUUUUCACUUCUUUAAUCUCAUGGGAUUCAUUGACUCAAGUCAGAGGGAUUGAGUGACAUCAGAUGAUGACGUUGUGCGUGCCCAUAGCUUCCAUUCCAAAUUCAACAGUCAGGAGGUUGCUGAAGGAGCUGGAAGACGCUGCUCAUACACCUCUCUCUCCACAGCAAGAGCUCCAGCUGGUCUCAGUGGGAUUCAGACUGUGGUUUUCAUCUCCUCCUAAGUCUCUGUAUCUCCCAGGAGGUGGCUCUGCAUUAGCUUGACUGCAGCUCAUGCCUUUCUUCUAACCUCCCUUUUUUUUUUUUCUAUAAUAGUAUAAUACCACCGAUUUUUUUUUUGGCGGGGGGCGGGCGGCGUGGAAAGAAGUGUGUUGAGAGUUGUGUCUUCCAGGUCACUGAUGAACGUGGACAGAUCCCGGUAUAGACCCCUGCGUACUCCACUUGUCACUGGCUUCCAGGUAAAGCACCACCCAUUCACAAAAACCCUCUGAGCGUGAUCAUCCAACCAGCUUUUUACCCACCCAGUUCUCUACGCAGUGUGUUGUCACACUUACUUGUAUACAAGAAGAUAAUGUGAGACAGUGUCAAACACCUUGCUAAAAUCAUGGUAAAUAACAUCCACUACUCUGCUCUCCUCUGCAAGUACAGGUCUUUUAUCACAGAAGGCAAUCAGGUUGCUCAGGAAUGAUUUACCUUCAGGAAAUCCAUGCUGACUGCUCCCAGGCACCUUCUUCUCCUUCAUGU